rnacentral:SRP_RNA from 22 species
GCCUCCGCGCGGCGUUACCCGGGUGAACUCCCCCAGGUUAGGAAUAAAGCAAGGGUAGCUCGGCUCUGGCGGGUGUGCGGGGGUCUUGC